UUCAAGGGAUGUGUUGAUUAACCAAGCUGU
rnacentral:piRNA from 1 species